rnacentral:rRNA from 1 species
AUUGAACGCUGGCGGCAGGCCUAACACAUGCAAGUCGAGCGGAGCGGCGGACGGGUGCGUAAUGCCUAGGAAUCUGCCUGGUAGUGGGGGAUAACGUCCGGAAACGGGAGAUAAUACCUCAUACUAUCAGAUGAGCCUAGGUCGGAUUAGGUAGUUGGUGGGGUAAUGGCGUACCAAGGCGACGAUCCGUAACUGGUCUGAGAGGAUGAUCAGUCACACUGGAACUGAGACACGGUCCAGACUCCGACGGGAGGCAGCAGUGGGGAAUCUUCCGCAAUGGACGAAAGUCUGACGGAGCAACGCCGCGUGAGUGAUGACGGCCUUCGGGUUGUAAAGCUCUGUUAAUCGGGACGCGGUACCGGAAUAGAAAGCCACGGCUAACUACGUGCCAGCAGCCGCGGUAAUAC